GACAGAGGGUGCAAGCGUUGUUCGGAAUCAUUGGGCGUAAAGCGCACGUAGGCGGUCGUGUAAGUCAGACGUGAAAGCCCUGGGCUUAACCCAGGAAGUGCGUCUGAUACUGCACGACUUGAGUCCCGGAGAGGGUGGUGGAAUUCCUGGUGUAGAGGUGAAAUUCGUAGAUAUCAGGAGGAACACCGGUGGCGAAGGCGACCACCUGGACGGAGACUGACGCUGAGGUGCGAAAGCGUGGGGAGCAAACAGG
rnacentral:rRNA from 1 species